GCAGCCCAGAGCCUGAAUCAGUGUGUGUGUUAGUGGAAGCGUCUGGAAAGGCGCGCGAUACAGGGUGACAGCCCCGUACACAAAAAUGCACAUGCUGUGAGCUCGAUGAGUAGGGCGGGACACGUGGUAUCCUGUCUGAAUAUGGGGGGACCAUCCUCCAAGGCUAAAUACUCCUGACUGACCGAUAGUGAACCAGUACCGUGAGGGAAAGGCGAAAAGAACCCCGGCGAGGGGAGUGAAAAAGAACCUGAAACCGUGUACGUACAAGCAGUGGGAGCACGCUUAGGCGUGUGACUGCGUACCUUUUGUAUAAUGGGUCAGCGACUUAUAUUCUGUAGCAAGGUUAACCGAAUAGGGGAGCCGAAGGGAAACCGAGUCUUAACUGGGCGUUAAGUUGCAGGGUAUAGACCCGAAACCCGGUGAUCUAGCCAUGGGCAGGUUGAAGGUUGGGUAACACUAACUGGAGGACCGAACCGACUAAUGUUGAAAAAUUAGCGGAUGACUUGUGGCUGGGGGUGAAAGGCCAAUCAAACCGGGAGAUAGCUGGUUCUCCCCGAAAGCUAUUUAGGUAGCGCCUCGUGAAUUCAUCUCCGGGGGUAGAGCACUGUUUCGGCAAGGGGGUCAUCCCGACUUACCAACCCGAUGCAAACUGCGAAUACCGGAGAAUGUUAUCACGGGAGACACACGGCGGGUGCUAACGUCCGUCGUGAAGAGGGAAACAACCCAGACCGCCAGCUAAGGUCCCAAAGUCAUGGUUAAGUGGGAAACGAUGUGGGAAGGCCCAGACAGCCAGGAUGUUGGCUUAGAAGCAGCCAUCAUUUAAAGAAAGCGUAAUAGCUCACUGGUCGAGUCGGCCUGCGCGGAAGAUGUAACGGGGCUAAACCAUG
rnacentral:rRNA from 1 species